AACGAACGCUGGCGGCAUGCCUAACACAUGCAAGUCGAACGAAGGCUUCGGCCUUAGUGGCGCACGGGUGCGUAACGCGUGGGAAUCUGCCCUUGGGUUCGGAAUAACAGUUAGAAAUGACUGCUAAUACCGGAUGAUGUCGUAAGACCAAAGAUUUAUCGCCUAGGGAUGAGCCCGCGUAAGAUUAGGUAGUUGGUGGGGUAAAGGCCUACCAAGCCGACGAUCUUUAGCUGGUCUGAGAGGAUGAUCAGCCACACUGGGACUGAGACACGGCCCAGACUCCUACGGGAGGCAGCAGUGGGGAAUAUUGCGCAAUGGGCGAAAGCCUGACGCAGCCAUACCGCGUGUGUGAAGAAGGCCUCGGUUGUAAG
rnacentral:rRNA from 1 species